GCCCGCGUGGUGGAAUGGUAGACACAGGGGACUUAAAAUCCCUCGGCCCUGGCCUUGCCGGUUCGAGUCCGGCCGCGGGCACCA
rnacentral:tRNA from 1 species